ACAAUGCUGAUAAGGUAAAGCUAAGUGCGCGGGUGUCGUGUCUAAUUGAGUGGCACUAUAUGCACGAUACUGCUUGUUGUCGUUGACAUGAUGCCAGGUCAAGGUUUUCAUCACUGAACUAUACUGGACCUUCCAACGGAUGGGGAAUAGCAUUCGCUAGAUUUAUAAGGAGCAUGUGCAUUGAUGCUAUUUCUUUGAUCCAACUCUUCUGUGAAUGAAGCGAGUUUACGAUCAACAUUUUUACCGUCCUCAUAAUAUGGCACACUAUCAAAGUGACGUUACAGCGGCCAGCUAGUAUAAAGUUUGUGAAGCCUUGUUACGCGUCCAGUAUACCGGUUAAUACGUAUAUAACUAAGGGGUGGAAUCAAAGCAACCAUAGCGACCACGGACAAGAUCUGCACCAGACUGCUCAUAGGAGUCCUCCUGUGAACAUCAUAUUUUCUCACAUAACAAAAGGGGUAGCAGUCCCCCUUUCGGCUUGGCUACAGGGGCAAAAAAGAUCACAGGCGCUCCCUCAUUAUCCAAAAUAGCCGUCCGGCCAAGAUACUCGUGGUGAAAGCGUCAUCUGCUCACGCUUCUCAUGAAUGCGAUCCACAAUGACGGGUAAAACGCGACGUCACUUAUAGAGGCGACCAAAACCUGGUACGUACCGUAACAGUGGCAGUAUUUUGGUAAUUAACUCCCUGCUGUAUUUCAAGCGACGCCAUAUUCAAAAAAGUUCGUCGGGGCCUUAUGGCACGGUAUGUAAUAGAUGUCGUAGGCCUCUAAUCAACUAACAUGAAAGGUACCGCUAAAUGCUUGAGACGGCAGGAAAUGAGAAAAUUUAAUAGGUGGAUUAACUAUGGCUAACGUGGCUACACGACGGCGGCACAAAAUAACGGCUGUAACGGUAAGCAGAAAAUCGAUUAUUUGGACCGAAAGAAUAACAAGUUGACUUAGCGUGACGAGUAAUCCAAACGUAUUGUUAGCUCUAGUGGCCUAUUUUGGGUCACGUCGGUGUCAUAAAAAAGUUUGGAACACGAUAUAGGAUAUAAAGGGUAUAAAAGCCGCCGUCACUCACUGAUACACUGUCAGUCUCCGAGUAACGGGGAUUAAUAUAUAUAUAUAUAUAUAUAUAUAUAUAUAUAUAUGUGUGUGUGUAUAUAUAAUACGAUUCGAUAAAACCCAUUUGCCGAUAGCAGUGUAUCCCAGACGCACUCAUCGCUCCGAAUAUAACCCUUCGACCCAGCGGGAUUAUUCGAUUACCUGCCUUCUACCCGAAGAAAAGAUACGGGACAAAACUAUAGUUUUUACCCCGUUAAUUUGUUUGCGUCACAAUGUUUACUCGACGAUCGCUCGUCUACACAGAAGCUUUUAACUAGUGUUGUCGAAUGGCCGAAUUUUAUCUGGAGCAAAAGCGUCACCUUUAUUUUUCUAACACACUACGCAAGCUCUCCGCCGGGUACUUCGAACUCAAGUUGAUGCUAUCUAGUCCUUCUCGUCGUCGAUUGCUACAGAAUAAAACAUUCACUCGAUCCUAAGGCCGACACCGAACCCUUUUAUUGUCUACAUGUGCCUCUGUGUUCUUCGGCCGCCGAACUGCCUGAAUGCUUAAUGUUCGGGGGGCCCGGCAGGUGGUUCCGCUACCGCUGAAAUAGAGAAGUAGCAAUUCAGAACAAGAAGAAGCAGGUCUCAAGGGAAAGACAGGCCAGGCAGCUCAUUGGAGUUGCCCUCCAGGAAAACAAUUCGACAACGAUGAAGAUGCCCCUUGCUACAAUAACGGAUAUCGACGAAUGCAGUUUUCUUGUUUCUUUAUGUGUACGUGAAGACCCCUGUUGAGCAACGCGGAAAGCAUAGACGAUGCUUUGUAAGCCUAAUUUUGAUUCGUGUUUCACACUUUGUUUCAAAGUUCGUCUCAGUAUAAACUUUACGCAGUGAUAGCAUAAAGUAAUCAAAAUAAAAAAUAGUAUUUGCAUAGAGUCAUCCAGCUGCAAUGAAUGCGCACACUAGAAAUUCAUUCGCCAGACACAUCAUAAAUGGGUCACUCCAUGCCGAAAGUGGUCCCGGUAGGGAGUGUCAGGUCAAAAGUGAUUCUUAGAUGAACAACCUGUCUGUUUACCUGUAACCGAAUUUUUUUUUUAACACAUAAACAGGUAAGCACUUGUCUACGAGUAUUGAGCUAUAUGAUAAGGCAUAAAACAGGGUUUAUAAUUCACCGAAGUUAUUUCUAUUAAUAAUCUCUUGAAGGACGGCCCUCCAUUAAUCGACGAUUCGGGCAGGCAGGCCCUGUAGUCUUCUUGUAAUAUGUGAGGGAACAAUCCAGAACAAUUAUGGAACUUACUAAUUGUA